AUUUUGAAAACAUAAAAGUACUUAUGGAAAUUGAGGUUUUCACACUUUUGCAAAAACAUAAUUUAAAGUAAAAGAAUAAUACAUGUUGACCGUAACGAAAGGCGGGAAUUUGAACAGUUUGGCAAACUAAUUGUACCAAGUCUUAAAGUGUUAAUCAAAGAAACAAGGCUGGCACGUAAGGCGUUAGUUUUAUCUACAUAAGUUCAGGAUAAGAGAUCAUUAGUGACGCUCAAAUUAUAACACUUGAUGGUCAACGUAAGUUGAAGAGUGUUACAAACAAACAAAAAUCGAAAACCUGUACCAAAUAUGGCGUAGGCAAUAUCAUUAGGAAG
rnacentral:lncRNA from 1 species